rnacentral:rRNA from 1 species
GACGAACGCUGGCGGCGUGCUUAACACAUGCAAGUCGAACGGAAAGGCCCUGCUUUUGUGGGGUGCUCGAGUGGCGAACGGGUGAGUAACACGUGAGUAACCUGCCCUUGACUUUGGGAUAACUUCAGGAAACUGGGGCUAAUACCGGAUAGGAGCUCCUGCUGCAUGGUGGGGGUUGGAAAGUUUCGGCGGUUGGGGAUGGACUCGCGGCUUAUCAGCUUGUUGGUGGGGUAGUGGCUUACCAAGGCUUUGACGGGUAGCCGGCCUGGGGGGGUGGCCGGGCCAAUGGGGGGGGGAUACCGGCGGGGGUGCUCCCGGGGGGGAGGGGGGGGGAUAUUGGGCAAUGGGGGGGAGGCCGGGGCAGGAACGGCGGGUGGGGGAUGGCGGGCUUCGGGGUGUGAACCGCUUUCGCCUGUGACGAAGCGUGAGUGACGGUAAUGGGUAAAGAAGCACCGGCUAACUACGUG